CUCCUGCACUUCGCCAUGGACCGGAAGCCCCUCUCUCUCUACAGGAGAAUUUCUCUCUUUCUUUUGCCUCUUAAACCUCCAAGCUUAACCUCACAUUUUGUGUGUCUGCGUCCUUGAUUUCCUUGGUGUGAGGCAAUGAACCUCAGGUAUUACCCCAGACAAGCGAAGCUGCUUCACUUUCAUUGACGGAUGCAGGUCAAGAAAAUUACAUCCCUCCCAGAAUGCGAAGAUAUAAACAUGCUCUAAGGAGGUAUGACAGCUAUGCUCAAGAUUCAGGUGCUCAGAUAAUUAGACGAGAAUCCUUGAAGGAGAACUAGGAUUACAGUUACUGUUCUUUAAGCUUAAAAUGAGCUUCAAUCAAGAGGAAGAAGGAAAAUUGCUUAAGUCAGACCCGACAGCUAAAGCUGCACAUCUGGCAGUGGUGAGUGGCCCUCAGUCUCCACUGAGGGACACUGAGUGUCUCCAGCAUCUCAAUAGGAAGCUUCCUGCAGACCAACUAUAAUCUAUUGGCACCCAAGUGGGGAGUUUCUAUGGGCCAGCUUCAACCCAUGACACCCUAGUAAAAGUCACCAACAUCCGAACAUGUGACCUCCUGCAGACCAGCUCUGGCCCACAGGACCCAGUGAAGUUCUCUGCUCUUCAGCAGGUAGCAGUUGUGCCCUCUCCAGUGGGGUCAAAAAUCUCAGCCAUUGGUAUGAGCUGGUGCUUUUCAAACUUUUAGCUCCUUCUCUGGGUAUUCUUUUUUACCUUAGGAGUAUAACUGCCCCCAACAUUUGCUGUGAGUACUUUUUAGUCUACUUAGUAGUCAAUCACAUUUUACCAGUUAAGAACUUUUUCUAUAAAGUUUUCCCCAUUCAAAUUCCUGGUGUGGUUUCUUUUUCUUGACUGGAUCAUGACUGAUUAAAUAACAUAGUUACUGGGCUCCUGUUAGAUACAAUACACUAUGUUAGGUACUGGAGACACAGCAGUAAAGAAGACAGACAAGGUUCCUGUCCUCAACACCCCUACAGUUUCCAUGUAAUAAACAAG
rnacentral:lncRNA from 10 species